ACUGGCGACUAUAGCGGCGGGGCUACACCUGUUCCCAUCCCGAACACAGAAGUUAAGCCCGCCUGCGCCGAUGAUACUUGGUGGGAAGCUGCCUGGGAAAGUAGGUCGUCGCCGGUU
rnacentral:rRNA from 1 species